rnacentral:lncRNA from 1 species
UAAAGUUGGGCUUUGGUGGAGUGGGCUCGGUACUGUGAGUGAGGUGUGGAUCUAGAACCUUCUAGCUGAUGGGAGGGUUAGGUGAGUGGGUUACAACUGGAUGGAAAUUUGGAAAAGCAAGGCCACAUGCUGAUGUGAUUGGUGGCAGUUUAGGUGGAAGAUGAGCCAUAGAUGGGUGUCGCAUGUUUGCGGAUGCAGAUUCUUUGGGUGUGUUAGGUGGGUUUGUGUUUAAUGAGUUACAAGAUAUAUUUGAAGUCUUAGAAUAUAAAAUUGGGUGUGUAAGGUUUGGAAAGAGAGUUGAGAGGUCGUGUGUUGGGGAAGAUGGGUUUUCUGGUUCAAGAAGGAAGUUAAAAUGUGAAGCGGGUUUUGGACCAAGAUAAGGUUUUAGUAGAAAAAUGUGAAAGAGUAGAUAAAUAUGUGAUAAAGGUGGGAGGAGGAGUUCAUAGGCCACUUCGCUGAUGUUGUGUUCAAUAGGACAGGGACAAUAAAAUCUAUGUGCGAGCUUGUUGUGAGCUUUGUAGGUGAGUGAUGUUUGGCGGUAAGCUUGAUGCCGGAGAGGAACCCUGUCGUUUUCCUUGAAGUUGUGGUUGUGUUUUGAUCUGUUUUCUAUUUUCGCCAUUCGCUGUUGUGUUUUUCUUUUCAGUGUGGCUUUCAAUUGGUGGAGCAUUUGCAUGCUGUCUUGUAAUAUGAUGUCAAAAGUGGAUUCUGCGGCUGUGCCUGGGACAUAAUUUGGAAUAGAGGGUGGUGGUCGUCCAUACAGAGCCUGGAAGGGUGUAGUUUUGAUGGUCGAGUGGUAUGGGAAGUUGUAUCAGAACUCCGCGAGGUGUAGUUAGCGAUACCAUGUUCGGGGAUUUUCGCCGGUGAAGCAUUUGAGGUAAGCUUCUAAACUGCGAUUUAUGACUUUUGACCGUCAAUUUGUGGAUGAUAAGCGGUAUUGAACUUCAAUUUCAUGCCUUUUAGGUGGAACAACUCCUUCCGAAAACGGCUUUGGAACAUUGGACCAUGAUCUGAAAUGAUGGAUUUGGGGACUCCAUGUAACCUGCAAAUUUCAACAGAGAAACGAAUAACUAAAUGGUUGGCGCUGCAGGACGUGGGAAGGGGGAUGAAGUGGACUGAUUAGGAUAACUUGUCACAAACAACCCAUAUGACAUGUGCCCAAGAGAAGAAGGAAGAUGCGUGAUGAAAUCAGUAGUUAGUUCUUCCCACAAUUUGGUUGGUAUGGAUAUGGGUUGGAGUAUACCAAAAGGUUUUUGAUGUAUGAAUUUGUUUUGUUGGCAGGGGAGGCAUUCUUAUAUAUACGUUUUGGUGUCGCGGUACAUGUCGGGCUAGAAAAAGGAUGCUGCAAGCCUAGCCAUUAUGGGCUUGAUGCCUAAGUGUCGUGCGAGAAGCAUGGAAUUCAUGGAGUAUGGUGGAACGAAUUUGUUCAUUGGAUGGAACAUACAAGCGUUGACCAUGGUAUAGAAGGUCACAUUGAAAAUUGUAGUUGGUGUCAAGUAAUGAAGUUAAUCUGUGAACCUCUUUUAAUCCCUUUUUCUUGUUGUAAUAAUCUUGUAAUUCCUUGAACAUGUCCAGAAUCAACAAGGAUAUGAAAAAAAAAAAAGAUUGUGGUGGUCAGGACAAAAAUCUCUAGCUUGAUUUUGGCGACUUGGGCGGUAUCAGAUAUAAAAAAUUGUAUCCUAAUAUCUUGGUGGCCCACUUUUGUUGUUUCGGCGUAUGGCAUGCAUUGGUGACUAAUCCAUUUAGGCUUUUUUUAUAUGUUAUAUUGUGAAAUGAAUACCUAUGAGAUAAUGACGCCAAUUUUUGACUGUUUCUGUUAUAGCUAGCAUUUCCUUGACAUAUACUGAGUUAGCUUGCACUUUUGGACAAAGUUUCUUACUGAAGAAAGCAAUGGGGUGACGUUCUUGGGAUGGCAUUAUGCCAAUGGCUAUGUUGGAAGCAUCAGUCUCAACCAUAAAUGGUAUGGAGAAAUUUGGAAGACUCAACACAAGAGUUGUAGUUAGGAUAUUUUUCAGUUUUGUAAAAGCCUCGUGUGCUUUUGUAUCCCAUGUAAACAUUGAUUAUUUAAGUAAAUUCGUGAGUGGCGAGGCAAGAGUGGCAUCACCGCGGAUGAACUUCUAAUAAAAUCUCGUAAUUCCCAAAAACGCACGUGGGUAGUAAGGGAUGUGUUGAUCAAUGAUGAUCUUGAAGCUUUGAUGUCUCCAAAUCCAUGGUGUUUGAUGGAAGGCUGGAGUUGCUGUGUGUGUGGGUGGGUUUUGGGUAGAAUAUUGUGUAAUCCACUUUUUGUUUGAAUCUAAAACAGUUUGGAAUAAAAACCUUUUUGAAAAAGAUUAUUUUAUAAAGAAGUGGAAAAACAACCUGUUGUUUUGUCGUUUCAAUCGGUUGUUUAUCACUUAGAGGUUUUUGAAAAGGGUUUGAAACUGUUUGACUUGGUUGACUUUGCUGUCAAACCAAUUCAAUCGGUUGUUUCAAGAAUUCAACCGAUUGUUUGUUGAAAAUCAAUAACAAAAUUUAUGUUAUGUUUGCAAAUGAGCUUUAAAUGUUUUCUAACUGAAUAGGCU